UACGUAGGGUGCGAGCGUUGUCCGGAAUUACUGGGCGUAAAGGGCUCGUAGGCGGCCAACUAAGUCGGAUGUGAAAUCCCCAGGCUUAACCUGGGAACUGCAUCCGAUACUGGAUGGCUUGAGGUUGGGAGAGGAUGCGGAAUUCCAGGUGUAGCGGUGAAAUGCGUAGAUAUCUGGAGGAAUACCGGUGGCGAAGGCGGCAUCCUGGACCGACAUUGACGCUGAGGAGCGAAAGCUAGGGGAGCAAACGGG
rnacentral:rRNA from 1 species